AUUGAACGCUGGCGGCAGGCCUAACACAUGCAAGUCGAACGGAGCGGCGGACGGGUGAGUAAUGCCUAGGAAUCUGCCUGGUAGUGGGGGAUAACGUCCGGAAAGGGUCGCUAAUACCGCAUACUAUCAGAUGAGCCUAGGUCGGAUUAGCUAGUUGGUGGGGUAAAGGCUUACCAAGGCGACGAUCCGUACCUGGUCUGAGAGGAUGAUCAGUCACACUGGAACUGAGACACGGUCCAGACUCCUACGGGAGGCAGCAGUGGGGAAUAUUGGACAAUGGGCGAAAGCCUGAUCCAGCCAUGCCGCGUGUGUGAAGAAGGUCUUCGGGUUGUAAAGCACUUUAAGCAGGGAGGCGUUACCAGCAGAAUAAGCACCGGCUAACUUCGUGCCAGCAGCCGCGGUAAUAC
rnacentral:rRNA from 1 species